rnacentral:rRNA from 1 species
UACGAAGGGGGCUAGCGUUGCUCGGAAUCACUGGGCGUAAAGCGCACGUAGGCGGAUUGUUAAGUCAGGGGUGAAAUCCUGGAGCUCAACUCCAGAACUGCCUUUGAUACUGGCGAUCUCGAGUCCGGGAGAGGUGAGUGGAACUGCGAGUGUAGAGGUGAAAUUCGUAGAUAUUCGCAAGAACACCAGCGGCGAAGGCAGCACGUUGGCGCUUUAUUGACGCUCAGGCACGAAAGCAUGGGGAUCAAACAGG